CGUGGUCCGUCCAAUGGGAAAAAUUAUUCGGAUCGGUUGAGAACAAUGGGGCCAAUGGGAGUAGGGCCAGAGGGAGGGGGAACACAAGCAUAGCUCUGACAUGCAAGGGAGAAUUACAUAACGUAAAUCUUUCGACUGCAGUUUGAAGCACAUCAGUUGCCAACUAAAUAAGUUGAAAACCACGUUUGUUUGUAGUGUUGUGGGGAGAUCGUGGAUCUGUUAAAUCGAGUGAUGUAAGAAGAGUACCUAAUGUAGCAGCUGGCAUGUAAGUGUCAACUCGUUCAUCUGUUUCAAAGGGUCACUGUUCUCUCCAUUUUGACGUCACAGUAGCUGCUGCAUUGAAAUGGGUCAGCUGUACCGUAUCGGAAAAUCAUUAGCACCAGAUUAUCAGCUGAUAUUCAAGCAUGAAACACAGUCGAAGUGGCAGGUUUCACAUGGCAACGCCGAUGGUCGAACCAAGAAACCGGAGUUUCUGGACUGUAUAACGUCGGAUGAGAGGAUGGCAGUGAGUACUGAAGUGGAAGGAAGCGAUCGUGGUCUAUUUUAAGGUGCUAUCCCGGUAUUUGCCCGGAGUGACUGAGAAAUCUGUGUCAGUUUAACCGGCUUCCAGGCCGUGAUCUGAACUCGGACAACAAGAAUACAAAACAGGGGAGGUACAUACUCAACUUCGACCUUCGGUUAUGUUAUUAAAUUUGACAAACAAAAAUAUCACUGUAUGUUUAAUAAUGUGUUAUCGAACAAUAUUAUAUUUAAAAAUGACAAAUGUGGACAGUGCUCUAGUAUUUGACAUUAGAUUGAUUUUAUUUGAGAUGAGCUUUUAAUGGCCAUAUAUCGAUUUAAGUCUGCUCUUUUUAAGCCGCGUAGAUUUGUGACCAGCUACUAUAUUAUACGUUGUCACGACCCAGAAGAUCGUCAACAAAGUAAAUAGAUUUUAGUGUCUGUAUGCGUGCGUAAAGACACAAAACACAGCACGUACUCAUAAACGCACGCAAACUCGCACGCUCACACACUCAUACUCCUAUACGCACGUGCGCAUGCAAGCACACACACAUAUACAGACUAAAAUUUUAUUAGGCCAAACUCUUGAAUAAAGCCACCUUUUAUUCUUCACUCUGAUGAACACUUACUCCCUUCAAUUGUAUGUUUAAUUACAAUGUGGCAGUAAUUAAAUUUUUAAGAGAGUAAUUAAAUAUAGGCCUAUUAAAAUUUCUUAAUAAAUGAGUGAAAAUGUGUGUUUUCAUAUCAUACGUCUGUGUUAUGAUAUUUAGUACAGUUCCAACUGCAGUAUUAACUACAUUGUCUCUUAUUUAAUUAAAACGUUCCGUCCCGUUCUAUUUAGAUACACAUC